rnacentral:rRNA from 1 species
ACGGAAGGCAGCAGUGGGGCAUAUUGCACAAUGGGCGAAAGCCUGAUGAAGCGACGCCGCGUGAGUGAAGAAGUAUCUCGGUAUGUAAAGCUCUAUCAGCAGGGAAGAAAAUGACGGUACCUGACUAAGAAGCCCCGGCUAACUACGUGCCAGCAGCCGCGGUAAUACGUAGGGGGCAAGCGUUAUCCGGAUUUACUGGGUGUAAAGGGAGCGUAGACGGUUUGGCAAGUCUGAAGUGAAAUGCGGGGGCUCAACUCCUGAACUGCUUUGGAAACUGUCGAACUAGAGUGCAGGAGAGGUAAGUGGAAUUCCUAGUGUAGCGGUGAAAUGCGUAGAUAUUAGGAGGAACACCAGUGGCGAAGGCGGCUUACUGGACUGUAACUGACGUUGAGGCUCGAAAGCGUGGGGAGCAAACAGGAUUAGAUACCCUGGUA